CAGGGCGUGCUCAGUACGGCGAGUGAGCGGCAAAGCUCAAAUUUGAAAUCCUUCGGGAGUUGUAAUUUGUAGGUUGGGAGACCCCGCGGCUAGUGGCACCAAGUCCCUUGGAACAGGGCGCCUUAGAGGGUGAGAGCCCCGUAGGUACCACAACACCGUCUUGUGUCUCCUCUCCAAAGAGUCGAGUUGUUUGGGAAUGCAGCUCAAAGUGGGUGGUAAAUUCCAUCUAAAGCUAAAUACCGGCGAGAGACCGAUAGCGAACAAGUACAGUGAUGGAAAGAUGAAAAGCACUUUGAAAAGAGAGUGAAACAGUACGUGAAAUUGUUGAAAGGGAAGGGCUUGCAAGCAGACACGGCCUUCGUGCCGGGCCAGCAUCGGUUGCUAGGGGUGGAUAAGGAACAAGGAAUGUAGCUCCUCGGAGUAUUAUAGCCUUGCGCGAUACACCCACUGGCGACCGAGGCCUGCGGUAUUCUUUACCUAGGAUGCUGGCGUAAUGGUUGCAAGCCGCCCGUCUUGAACCAACGGGACCCA
rnacentral:rRNA from 1 species